rnacentral:rRNA from 1 species
AUGUGGAGCCGUAGCGAAAGCGAGUCUGAAUAGGGCGAAUGAGUAUUUGGUCGUAGACCCGAAACCAGGUGAUCUACCCUUGGUCAGGUUGAAGUUCAGGUAACACUGAAUGGAGGACCGAACCGACUUACGUUGAAAAGUGAGCGGAUGAACUGAGGGUAGCGGAGAAAUUCCAAUCGAACUUGGAGAUAGCUGGUUCUCUCCGAAAUAGCUUUAGGGCUAGCCUCAAGUGAUGAUUAUUGGAGGUAGAGCACUGUUUGGACGAGGGGCCCCUCUCGGGUUACCGAAUUCAGACAAACUCCGAAUGCCAAAUAAUUUAACUUGGGAGUCAGAAUGUGGGUGAUAAGGUCCAUAUUCGAAAGGGAAACAGCCCAGACCACCAGCUAAGGUCCCAAAAUAUAUGUUAAGUGGAAAAGGAUGUGGCGUUGCCCAGACAACUAGGAUGUUGGCUUAGAAGCAGCCAUCAUUUAAAGAGUGCGUAAUAGCUCACUAGUCGAGUGACACUGCGCCGAAAAUGUACCGGGGCUAAACAUAUUACCGAAGCUGUGGAUUGUCCUUUGGACAAUGGUAGGAGAGCGUUCUAAGGGCGUUGAAGCAUGAUCGCAAGGACAUGUGGAGCGCUUAGAAGUGAGAAUGCCGGUGUGAGUAGCGAAAGACGGGUGAGAAUCCCGUCCACCGAUUGACUAAGGUUUCCAGAGGAAGGCUCGUCCGCUCUGGGUUAGUCGGGUCCUAAGCUGAGGCCGACAGGCGUAGGCGAUGGAUAACAGGUUGAUAUUCCUGUACCACCAUUAUUCGUUUUAAGCGAUGGGGGGACGCAGUAGGAUAGGCGAAGCGUGCUGUUGGAGUGCACGUCCAAGCAGUGAGAUUGAGUGUUAGGCAAAUCCGGCACUCUUAAGAUUGAGCUGUGAUGGGGAGAGGAACUUGUUCCUCGAGUCGUUGAUUUCACACUGCCGAGAAAAGCCUCUAGCUAGAAUAACGGUGCCCGUACCGCAAACCGACACAGGUAGUCAAGAUGAGAAUUCUAAGGUGAGCGAGCGAACUCUCGUUAAGGAACUCGGCAAAAUGACCCCGUAACUUCGGGAGAAGGGGUGCUCUUUGAGGUUCACGCUUCGAAGAGCCGCAGUGAAUAGGCCCAAGCGACUGUUUAUCAAAAACACAGGUCUCUGCUAAACCGUAAGGUGACGUAUAGGGGCUGACGCCUGCCCGGUGCUGGAAGGUUAAGAGGAGUGGUUAGCGCAAGCGAAGCUACGAAUCGAAGCCCCAGUAAACGGCGGCCGUAACUAUAACGGUCCUAAGGUAGCGAAAUUCCUUGUCGGGUAAGUUCCGACCCGCACGAAAGGCGUAACGAUUUGGGCACUGUCUCAACGAGAGACUCGGUGAAAUCAUAGUACCGGUGAAGAUGCCGGUUACCCGCGACAGGACGGAAAGACCCCGUGGAGCUUUACUGUAGCCUGAUAUUGAAAUUCGGUACAGUUUGUACAGGAUAGGUAGGAGCCUUAGAAGCGUGAGCGCUAGCUUACGUGGAGGCAUUGGUGGGAUACUACCCUAAUUGUAUUGGAUUUCUAACCCGCAGCACUUAUCGUGCUGGGAGACAGUGUCAGGCGGGCAGUUUGACUGGGGCGGUCGCCUCCUAAAGAGUAACGGAGGCGCUCAAAGGUUCCCUCAGAAUGGUUGGAAAUCAUUCAUAGAGUGUAAAGGCAUAAGGGAGCUUGACUGCGAGACCUACAAGUCGAGCAGGGUCGAAAGACGGACUUAGUGAUCCGGUGGUUCCGCAUGGAAGGGCCAUCGCUCAACGGAUAAAAGCUACCCCGGGGAUAACAGGCUUAUCUCCCCCAAGAGUUCACAUCGACGGGGAGGUUUGGCACCUCGAUGUCGGCUCAUCGCAUCCUGGGGCUGUAGUCGGUCCCAAGGGUUGGGCUGUUCGCCCAUUAAAGCGGUACGCGAGCUGGGUUCAGAACGUCGUGAGACAGUUCGGUCCCUAUCCGUCGUGGGCGUAGGAAAUUUGAGAGGAGCUGUCCUUAGUACGAGAGGACCGGGAUGGACAUACCUCUGGUGUACCAGUUGUCGUGCCAACGGCAUAGCUGGGUAGCUAUGUAUGGACGGGAUAAGUGCUGAAAGCAUCUAAGCAUGAAGCCCCCCUCGAGAUGAGAUUUCCCAACUUCGGUUAUAAG